rnacentral:rRNA from 1 species
GGGCCCAUCCCGUAAGGCUAAAUACUCCCGAGAGACCGAUAGCGAACCAGUACUGUGAAGGAAAGGUGAAAAGAACCCCGAACAGGGGAGUGAAAUAGACCCUGAACCCGUCUGCCUACAAGCGGUCGGAGCAGCUUCAAGCUGUGACGGCGUGCCUUUUGCAUAAUGAACCUACGAGUUACUUUCAGUGGCAAGGUUAAGUACUUCAGGUACGGAUCCGAAGCGAAAGCGAGUCUGAAAAGGGCGUCAAGUCACUGUGAGUAGACGCGAAACCAAGUGAUCUACCCUUGUCCAGGAUGAAGGUUGGGUAACACCACCUGGAGGUCCGAAUGGUUAUACGUUGAAAAGUGUUCCAAUGAGAUGAGGGUAGGGGUGAAAGGCUAAUCAAACUUGGAGAUAGCUCGUACUCCCCGAAAUGCAUUUAGGUGCAGCCUGUGUGAAGUAUAAUAUGAGGUAGAGCGACUGAUUGGAUGCGAGGGCUUCACCGCCUAUCAAGUCCAGACAAACUCCGAAUGCGUAUUAUAUGAUUCCACGGAGUGAGGGCAUGGGUGCUAAGGUCCAUGUCCGAGAGGAGAAGAAUCCAGACCACCUGCUAAGGUCCCGAAAUAAUGCUUAAGUUGAGAAAACGAAGUCAGAUUGCAAAGACAGCUAGGAUGUUGGCUUGGAAGCAGCCAUUCAUUUAAAGAGUGCGUAACAGCUCACUAGUCGAGGAAUUUGGCAUGGAUAAUAAUCGGGCAUAAAGCAUUUACCGAAGCAGUGGAAUCAGCAAUGAUUGGUAGGGGAGCAUUCCGGCGGCGUCGAAGAUAGAGGAUGACCUCUGUUGGAGCUUCCGGAAAAGCAAAUGUAGGUAUAAGUAACGAUAAAGGAGGUGAGAAACCUCCUCGCCGAAAGACUAAGGUUUCCUGAUCAACGUUAAUCGGAUCAGGGUAAGUCGGGACCUAAGGAUAAGCCGAACGGCGAAGCCGAUGGAAGAAACGGUUAAUAUUCCGUUACUACUUUAAUGAGUGACGUGGAGACGGAGAAGUGACAGUCCUGCCGGCUGACGGAAUAGCCGGUUGAAGGGUGUAGGAGUAGAUCCUUGCAGGCAAAUCCACAAGGAGAUCCGAACUUGAUAGUAUGGAGCGCACCCCGGUGCAAUCCAAAAUGGACGUAAUCAGGCUCCCGAGAAAAUCCGCUAAACCUAAUCAUUAAAGUACCCGUACCACAAACGGACACACGUAGUUGGGUUGAAAAUACUGAGGCGCUCGAGUGAGUCACGGUUAAGGAACUAGGCAAAAUGGUCCUGUAACUUCGGGAUAAAGGACGCCAAUCGUAAGAUUGGCCGCAGAGAAUAGGCCCAGGCGACUGUUUAACAAAAACACAUGGCUGUGCGAAAUAGUUAACAUGAAGUAUACAGCCUGACACCUGCCCGGUGCUGGAAGGUUAAGAGGAGGACUCAGCGCAAGCGAAGGUCUGAAUUGAAGCCCCAGUAAACGGCGGCCGUAACUAUAACGGUCCUAAGGUAGCGAAAUUCCUUGUCGGGUAAGUUCC